AAGCAAUAAUGUUUUCUAAAAAAAAAACACAACUUUAAAAUAUUGAUAUUAUCAUGUGAUCAGUAUUUGCAUUUUUGUACAUUGUAAGUCAAGGCAUUUUUGGAGACUACUGUGUCAGUAAUAUAAAAAAAAUUAAGUUCCUAUGGUAUCUACUUUGAGAAUGGAAACUGCCAACAGUUUUCCAAUAUCAAUACAAGUGAUAGAGAAGGGGAAAAAAGACACAACUGUCCCAAAAUACCUAGACAAUGUUUGUAGCAAUAUACUCUAUAAAUUGUAAAAUUGUUAGAAAUGAAGAAAGUAUUGCAUUUCUCUAUUUGUAAUAUGUGAGUAUACUAUAGCACUUUUACAUAAUGAUAUUUUGGCGUGUAGGAGGACAAAACAAAAUAUGUUUAGGUUCAUACAAUAAUUCAUGUCCUACGUCUUCUGAUUUCAUUCAUUCUUCUUGGACACUGAUGUUAUUAUCUGAGAAAAGAGACUUUGUCAUUAUGAUUGGUGGCAGAACUUCAAUUCUAUUCACUUACCACUAAAGUUGGAUACAAUGAUGCCCACCAACAAUGGACUAAAAUACACAACUUACCAGGCCUAUGUUGUACCUACCAAGUAGAUAUGUAUGACCUGCAAUCAAUGUUCUUGGCUAUGCCAACAGAUCACUUUAUAUAGGUUGCCCUGUGAUACAAAUAGGGUUCUUCGGAAUGUAGGAAUUUGUCUCAACUCAGGAAUAUUUGCAAAAUUCAGAACAUCUUGGAAUUGUUCAACUUAAUAAACUGAAAAUAGAUCUCUGAGAAAUUAUGACGCUUUCAAAAGAUUGCAAGAAAACAAAACAAAUACUACUGGCUUAAGAGAACAAGCCCUGGACUUUGUGUUUAUUAAAAAUAAUGUGAUGGAAUGAAGUAAUUGAUAUGCACUGACUGGGAACUCGAAGCCUGCAGCCAUCUGUGGCAUGAUGUCACACCUGAUGUCAUAGCAGUCGAUAGCUUCUCAACUGGGACUGUACACAAGGCCUUCCUUAACACAAAGUA